rnacentral:lncRNA from 1 species
ACUCAACUUAUUCUCUAUCAGAAGAUGGUUCGACUUAGUAUAAAAAAGUAACAGAUUUAAAUAAUUGUUUGUUAAAGUCAGAAACAAUGUUAAUCAAUUUCUUUUUGAAAAAGAAAAAACUGGCUGCUUUUGUGGAGAUUCGAACCCGGGUUUGGCUUAGAAAGACUAUAGAUUUCAGAUUUCAUUUACUUUAUUUCUACCGAGAUCUCAUUAAUGGCAUUUAACAAUUU